UCGCACUCGCACUCGCGCAGCAGCACAACAUCACAAUUCACACAGAGCAGCACUCAAGCCGAGCAUCAGGGCAUGGCGGACCAGCUCAUCUCCACGGCCGUGCACGAGGAGCUGCCGGAGAACUACGUCCGGCCGGAGGCGCAGCGCCCGCGCCUCCACGAGGUGGUCUCCGACGCGCAGAUCCCCGUCGUGGACCUCGCCGACCCCGACCCCGCCGCGGUCGUCGCCAGCAUCGGCGAGGCCUGCACCACCCACGGCUUCUUUCAGGUGCUCAAUCAUGGGGUGCCCGUGGAGCUGAUGGUCGCGAUGCUGGCGGUGGCGUACGAGUUCUUCCGGCUGCCGGCGGAGGAGAAGGCCAAGCUCUACUCCGACGACCCGGGCAAGAAGAUGCGCCUGUCCACCAGCUUCAACGUGCGCAAGGAGACCGUCCACAACUGGCGCGACUACCUCCGCCUCCACUGCUACCCGCUGGAGCAGUACGUCCCCGACUGGCCGGCCAAUCCCCCAUCAUUCAGGUAACAAUCCGGCGUCAAGCACCCUCACGUUGCUCACUUCACUGGAUCCUCCGUGCUCCAAGACUGACAGAGCAAGAUAGGAUUGUUUAAUUCACGAAUCACAAUGGCUAUUACUUAGUUAUUCUGGAGCUCUGCACCCUCAUGUUUCAUGCCUUGGGUGUGUUUGAUCCUGGAACUAAAGUUUAGUCCGUGUCACAUCGGAUAUUCGAAUGCUAAUUAGGAGGACUAAACAUGAGCUAACUACAAAACUAAUUGCAUAAUCUCUAGGCUAAAUCGCGAGAUGAAUCUAUUAAGCAUAAUUAAUCCAUCAUUAGCGAAUGUUUAUUGUAGCACCAUAUUGUCAAAUCAUGGACUAAUUAGGUUUAAUAGAUUCGUCUUGCGAUUUAGCCUAGGGGUUGUGAAAUUGGUUUUAUAAUUAGCCUAUGUUUAAUACUUCUAAUUAGUGUCAAACAUUCGAUGUGACAGGGACUAAAGUUUAGCCUGGGGAUCCAAACACCCCUUGAUCGUUAAAUUUCCUAGGGAAACGUACGCGCACUUUUUAAAUCCCUAAUUAAGCACGUAGCCCAAAGUAAAUUAUUGGUGCUCAUUUAUUCUAGUUUUUUUUUCUUCCCCUGAAUCUGAAUAUGUUAAAGGUCACUUAGGUUCCCAAACUAUAAUUUUGCAUAAUCCUAUGUCAUUUGACCUUAAGUUUUUGCUAAGUGAUUCACCAGAGGUACGUCCAAUCUCUCCGGUUUGUGUUGAUCCGUCUGCUUAGCGUUGAGAGGACUUGAGCUGUACGCUUAACAAGUUCAAAACUAUUAAUAAAGUGCAAAUUAAUAGUUUGAAGUAUCCGAUUACAUCCAAAGCUGAGGUGCUGCUACUCUGAAAAGACUACGAGAAUGGAACAACAAAUUCUAUCCUAACGCCAAAAUGCAGCUACUGAUGGCCGCAGAUGUAAUCUUCCAGCUAGACAAAGCACAAGAUUUGCGCCCCCUGUCAGCCUCCGAGCUGGUACUGCGACAGAAGCUCAAGCGAAGAAUCCUAGGACUUGCAGUCAUCGAGCAUGCUAGGAAACGUCAGGCCUCAAGGAUCACCAACCUUAAAUUAGGGGAUGCUAAUACAAAAUACUUCCACAGCAAGAUCAAUGGCAGGCGGCGCAAGAACCAGGUUCAUAGGCUAAAAAAUGGAUAAGAAUGGGCAAUCAAACAUGACCAGAAAGCCAAGGUGGUGCACGAACAUUUCGAAAAAAUGAUGGGCCGCUCCAAAUCAACGCACACUGGACAGUAACUGGGACAAGUUGCAGUUGCCUACCAUACAAGCUCACGAUUUGGAUGAGCCAUUCACAGAGACGGAGCUCAAGAGAGCAAUCUCCGAAAUGCCGAGUGACAAGGCUCCGGAACCGGACGGAUUUACCGGAGCUCUUUUCAAAAGCUGUUAGGAAAUUAUCAAAGAGGAUGUCAUAGAAGCGGCAAAUGCUAUCCACAAUCUGCGCACGGCAAAUUUACCACUAAUCAACACAGCCAACAUUGUCCUACUACCAAAGAAGGAAGGAGCAGAGUCCAUCACGGAUUUUAGACCAAACAGCCUCAUUCACUUUUUCAUCAAAAUCAUCACCAAAACUUUAGCUCUAAGAUUGGCACCGCACAUAAGACAAAUAAUCUCCCCCACGCAGAGCACUUUCAUUAAAAAAACGGAGCAUACAUGAUAACUUCCUAUCCGUCCGCAACAUGGCUAGACUCUUUCAUCGAAACAAGAUCCCGACGCUCUUCCUCAAACUCGACAUCGCGAAAGCUUUUGACUUUGUGAGAUGGGACUAUCUGCUAACAUUGUUGGAGAAAAUGGGGUUCCCGACCAGGUGGAGGGACUGGAUCUGUGCACUUUUAUUCACCUCGUCGUCGCGAGUAUUUCUAAACGGCAUGUACCAUGUACCUUGGACGGCUCUACCAUGUGGUGGAGAUAUGCACAUGCGCGCCGGUUUUUAAACCGUUCCUAGGACAGACAGAGCUCCUGCUGCCAGAAAAGAUAAGCUGAGCCAGCCUCUCAGCAAACAAGAACAAGGAAUGCUAAAAUUGUGUAGCAGUGGUCCAAGCUCCCUCCACUUGCCCACUACUCCGACCACUUGCCUACUUCCCUGUGUCCUGAGGGUUCCUGAGAGCUGUUCCUUUUUCUGGAGUGUGAUCACUACAACGACUAGUGGCACGGUGGAGUGUGACCUCCACUUGGCUCCUUCCCUGUGUCCUGAGAGUUCCUGAGAGCUGUUCCUUUUUCUGUUGUUGUUGAUAUGAUGUUGCCCAUCCGCACAUGUACAGGGAGAUCGUGAGCGCCUACUGCAGAGAGGUCCGGGCGCUGGGGUUCCGGCUGUACGAGGCGAUCUCGGCGAGCCUGGGGCUGGAGGAUGACUACGUGAAGAGGACGCUGGGCGAGCAGGAGCAGCACAUGGCGGUGAACUUCUACCCGAGGUGCCCGGCGCCGGAGCUCACCUACGGGCUCCCCGCGCACACCGACCCCAACGCCCUCACCAUCCUGCUCAUGGACCAGCAGGUGGCCGGCCUGCAGGUGCUCAACGACGGCCGCUGGAUCGCCGUCAACCCACGGCCCAACGCGCUCGUCAUCAACAUCGGGGACCAGCUGCAGGUACGAGCACGACUGGAUGGAUAUGAUCUUUUUUUCCUUCUGGCAACCACCUGAUUAACUGAAUGAUGAUCGAUCUGCACGACGUACGCGCAGGCGCUGAGCAACGGACGGUACAAGAGCGUGUGGCACCGCGCGGUGUUGAACUCCGACAGGCCGUGGAUGUCGGUGGCGUCGUUCCUGUGCCCCUGCAACGACGUGCGCAUCGGCCCCGCCUUGAGCGUGUUGAGUCCAUCGAUCGCUGAGCCGGUCGUGACGUCUACUUAUGUAGCCAGUCUCCGGGGCAAACAUGGAGCUCGCACUCGCACUCGCGCAGCAGCACAACAUCACAAUUCACGCAGAGCAGCACUCAAGCCGGGCAUCAGGGCAUGGCGGACUAGCUCAUCUCCACGUCCGUGCACGAGGAGCUGCCGGAGAGCUACGUCCGGCCGGCACACAUGCACCACCAGAGCUAGUCUCGUGCACGCACGGCACGGCCCUAGCUACCUCGAUCGGCAGACGGCAGCCAUGCCUGCCAUGGAUGCUCAUCAGGCGGUGACGACCGGCGGUGGCGGCACCGGCGGCUACGUCGAGUUCCUGGGCAAGGUCUGGGGAGCCCUCGCCGGGCUCGGCAAGAAGCUGGCCAAGAUCGUGACGGACGAUCCCAGGCGGGUGGUGCACUCGUUCAAGGUCGGGCUGGCGCUCACGCUGGUGUCCGUGCUCUACUACGUCCACCCCAUCUUCAACAACUGGGGGCUCUCCACCCUCUGGGCUGUGCUCAUCACCGUCGCCGUCGUCAUGGAUUACACCGUCGGUAAGCCCGUACGCCGCCGUGCAUCGCAGUUAGUUGCAGACAUCGAUGACGUACGAGCCGCAUGCAACGCCAUGCACCCGUAUAGUUUAAUUAAUGGCUUAUUAAUUAACGGGUGCGUGUGUGUGUUGGCAGGUGGGACGCUGAUCAAAGGCCUGAACAGGGCGACGGCAACGCUGGUCGCCGGGUUGAUCGCCGUCGGGGCUCACAAGGUGGCCAACCUGGGAGGCAGCAAAGGGGAGCCCAUCAUCAUACUCGCAAUCUUCGUCUUCCUCUUAGGUACAGUACCUACUAUAUACCUUCUAUACCCAUGCAGGCUGAUUCCUUGUCAAGCUAGCUGCUUGUCUGUGUAAAGCGAAAGCCAGGCACGCAGGCUAGCUUCGUUCUUAGCCGUGUACGGCCGGUACGCUUAGUUACUUUCAUGACGAGAUCGACAUGUCACGAUCAGUACGUGCUUUAAUUAAAUUAAUUCGUUCUCUCUCUCGCAGCGACGGCGGCGACGUUCACUCGGUUCAUCCCGGCGGUGAAGGCGUGGUACGACUACAGCGUGACCAUCUUCAUCCUGACCUUCAGCAUGGUGGCGGUGUCGAGCUACCGGGUGGAGGAGCUCAUCCGCCUCGCGUACCAGCGCUCCUUCACCAUCUUCGUCGGCGUCGCCACCUGCCUCUUCACCACCAUGUUCGUCUGCCCGGUCUGGGCCGGCGAGGACCUCCACAACCUCGCCGCCGAGAACCUCGACAAGCUCGCCGAGUUCCUUGAGGGUACGUAGCACCAUCCAUCCCACUCGAUCCUUGGAAUAUGUACAACGAAUCGGAUCGGAUUCCCAUGUCAAAGAUAAACUAAAUUGUAUAUAUACAUGUAUUUGUGUGUGCAGGACUGGAGUCCGAAUGCUUCGGGGAGAACGCUCCCGGCGAGGAUUUGGAAAGCAAACCGUUCCUCCAAGUGUACAAGAGCGUCCUCGACUGCAAGGCCACCGAAGACUCUUUGGUAAGCAGCAAUGCACUUUGAUGUUGAGCAGCAAUAAAGCUCCUGUAUCCAGAAACUGGGAUGAUCCGUUAUAAUGCAUGCAUGGCUUCUAUUCUUCCAAAACCGCAGGCAAAUUUUGCCAAGUGGGAGCCAGGUCAUGGCAACUUCUACUUCCGGUACCCAUGGGGCCAAUACCAGAACAUCGGCGCCGUUGCACGCCAGUGCGCUUCCUCAAUGCAGACUCUUGCUUCCUACAUCAUCACACUCAUAAAAGCUCAGGUAAUUGCAAAUCCAGCCAUUUCGCUAUAGAUCAAAAUUAAAGGUUUACAGAACCAUGUUUACUGAUCACUAGCAUCAUCCUUUUCCUGCUCACAGCGUCCUGAAACGAAUUUGGAGCUAUGCUCGAAGGUUCGAACAGCAUGCGGUGAGAUGAGCUUGCACUCGGCCAAGGCGCUCCGGGCGCUCUCAGCGGCGAUCCAGGCGAGGACUGUGCCAUCCCCGGCCAUGACUCACAUGACUGCAGCGAUCAGAGCGGCGAAAGGCCUCAAGGCCGAAUUGUCGCAGGACGAGGAUCUGGCCAAAGUGAUGCAUGUUGCUGGCAUUGCAUCUCUCCUCUCAGAAGUGGUUUCUCAGACAAAGAAGAUCACAGAAUCUGUUGGUAACCUAGCGAAAGUUGCCGGCUUCAAAAGCCCUGAUGAGAACACUGAUCAGAAGGAUGUGGUUAUUAUUAUAGAUGAUUUAAAAGUUAAUGGUCCAACAUCACCUUUGCCAGCAUCUCCACCUACCAAAAAGCCAGCAGUACCUCGUAUGGUCAACACACAUAAAAACGCUCCAUCCGUAGACAUCGACAAGUUUUCAAACGUAUUGAAGAAGAAGGCUUCAUCUUCUGGUGAAAAAUAUAUCACUCACAGCGCCUUUCCGCAAAAGGAAAAGGAUCAAAACCUCAAUUUCUUUGCGUCAGAUGAUGUUCCAAUGGAUUAUGAGCAUGGCAAACCAUUCUUGUAUCAGUGGGAGCCGCUGAAGGGCCCAUGGGAACUUAUGCAUGGAUGGAUCAUGAAUGCAAUGAAGCAAGACAUUCAAGCAAUCACCGCGCAUGUCCCAACUAAGGUUUUUCUUGGCGUUCUCCCAUACCAGAUUGUGAUCGAUUUUGAGGAUUUAUACAGACUUUACCAUCGACAACACCUCGACGUGAAUCUCAUUUCCGUAUGGUGCUUGUAAGUCCACAUGUACCGAAUACACGAGUUUUAAAUACAUACAUAUUUUAUUUCAAGUACCUGAGAAUCUAUUCUGCAGGAUGCAAUGGAGGGAGGAAGAAUUGGCGCACGGUAGGUUCAAGGUAGCGUACCUUGACCCAGCACGAAUAAGCGAGCCAGAGCACAAGCUCAAAAUGACGGAAACGAUCAAAGCACAAAUAGAAGCAGCAGAGACACAAGCAGAGAAAAAUGCUAUAAAAAUAAAAGCCCACAGAGAUGAAAUGCACAAAGUAUCCAUAUACAUUGCAAAAGUAAUGCAGAAAAAGGCUGACAAGGAUUAUAUCAUGGCUCCUUACUGUUUUGAGUAAGCUAGUUUUAAUUACUAUAUAUAUACUAGGUGGUAUUUAAUACCGUCUAUAAUAUAAAUUAUUUUAAUAUAAUGCAGUGACCAUUGGAUUUGCAUCAUUAUUUUACACAAGUUAGGAGAAGCAGUGGUCCUUGACUCAACCAGCUAUCAUAGAGAUAAGUACAAGGAUUUCAUAGACAUUAUACAAAAGUAAGACAUUUCUUGGCAAUACUUAAAUGCAUGUUGACGUUCUAUGUACCUAAGUUAUAUUACUAACUCUUGUCUUUAUAUCCUCAAAGUGCGUACCAGCUUUACAUACCACAAGAUGGGGUCACAAAAGCUAUGAAAAUAAUAUAUCAUAGAUUCGUAAGAAUAUAAAAACUUGGCUUUUUUCAUAUAAUGUAAACUUGUCAUUAAUAACAACUCAUUAUUUUUCUAUUUGUUUGCAGUGCCACAAGCAACCUCCUGGCUCUGUGUUAUGCGGAUAUUACGUGUGCGAGUUCAUCAGAAACAAUGGGAGGUACCGGACAAACCCUGAAGACGUAAGUCUCUUAUACAUAAAUGCCAUGUGCUAAUUUCCUAAUGGUAAUACAUACUAAUCUUCAUUUACUAUGCACCUGCAGAUGCCUACCAUCGACAGUAAUUAUAGCAAGAUCGAAGACAAACAAAUCGACAACAUUUGUACAGAUAUGGCGAGGUUCAUCUUACACGAGAUUUGUCACGAGGAUGGAGCAUUCUUUGAUAAAGAUGGCGUGUUGAUGGCAGACGAGUGCACAAAUCUUCGUAGAUGGGCGUAGUACUUUUAAUAUUAGCGUGGCAAAGAAUAGCUCUAUUCUAAAUGUUGGAUUUUAAAAAUGUGAACUAUAUGUACAAUGCAGUUUUUAAUAAUGUGAAUUAUUUAUUAUUCACGUUUGUUGUUAUGUACGAUUCUCUGAAAUGAAUUAAGAGGUUGGGAGCUGGAAAAAAUAGCUUCUUCUUAUUCUACGAAGUCAUUCUCCAAUCCGACUUCAAGAUAUCCCCCACGUAGUUUUCUGCUUAUACUGAUCCAUCAAGACCACUACUCGGUUCUCUGUAUGGUUGUUAUGCAAGACGUGGUUUUCUGUGUCUGUGUUUGAUGUCUCCCACGUAUUUAGUUUAUCAGAUGAAAAGAGGCAGUGCUCCUCUCAUUAUUCUUAACAAAUACUCCUCUUACCCAUUAAAUGCUGUUAUUUUGGUAAUAUAGUUUGAUUCUUCCCCGAUAGGUAUCGAGAAAUGGGAUGGGGAUCGGCCCCGGGUCAUAGUCGGAACAGAGGAAUUAAUCGGAUGGAUCAUCUCCACGGCCGUGCACGAGGAGCUGCCGGAGACCUACGUCCGGCUGGAGGCGCAGCGCCAGCGCCUCCACGAGGUGGUCUCGGACGCGCAGAUCCCCGUCGUGGACCUCGCCGAACCCGACCCCGCCGCCGUCGUCGCCAGCAUCGGCGAGGCCUGCACCACCCACGGCUUCUUUCAGGUGCUCAACCAUGGGGUGCCCGUGGAGCUGAUGGACGCGAUGCUGGCGGUGGCGUACGAGUUCUUCCGGCUGCCCGUGGAGGAGAAGGCCAAGCACGGCUGUACGCUUAACAGGUUCAAAACUAUUAAUAAAGUGCAAAUUAAUAGUUUGAAGUAUCCGAUCACAUCCAAAGCUGAGGUGCACGAGGUGCUGCUACUCCGUACACCCUUUUUUUCUCCAAGGUUCUGGAAUCACUUUUUGCUUCCUUUCUAUUUCCCUCGUGAGACCAAUCACUGAACAGAUGCUUCAAAAGAAAAUUUUGAAAGUGACUAACCACCAUGUACCAUGUACCUUGGACGGCUCUACCAUGUGGUGGAGAUCAGGAGAUAUGCACAUGCACGCCGGUUUUUAACCCUUUCCUAGGACAGACAGAGCUCCUGCUGCCAGAAACGAUAAGCUGAGCCAGCGGUCCAAGCUCCCUCAGAAUAACUCCAAAAAGCUUCCUUAAAAUUACCAAAAAUUAAAAAACUUAUUUAGGGGAAAAAUAAAAAAAUUACCUCCAACAGCUUCCUCAUCCUUCCCGUAAAAAUACGCGGAUGCUAAAAACACCUCCGUCGCUCCGAAUAUAUGUGGGGGACCGGUCCUUCCACAAUCCCGGAAUUUCUUACAGCUCGCGGUCACGGGCGGCCGCGGGAACCGCGAUUCCCGCCGGUCCAGUCGCCGGAGCUCGUCAGAGGUGGGUCGUCAACGAUCUUGCCAAGAUUGAAGCCACCCCGCGUGGUCUUGAGCACGGUCCCACCCUUCUUGUGCCGGUCGUCGACGGCGGCCGGGUCGAGGCGCACGUGGUCCUCGUCACCGCCAUAGAAGCCUCGGUAGCCCGCGCCGACGCUGAAGACGUCGCAGAUGUCGUAGAGCUCUUGGAGGCCGACGACGAGCUCCCUGAGGUGACGAGCGCGGCGCUCGCAUGGGCUGGGUCGACAGCGAUGUCCCUCCGGGGCCCCGCAUGGUGGUAGGCGAUGAGCGGGGAUGGCGCCGCGGAGGCGAGGUCGAAGAAGGCGUGGCGGAGGGAGACAUCGCCCGGGGAGAUGUAGAAGGUGGUCGGUGGGUGGAAGUAGGGGUGGCUUGAGAUGGGGUUCUAGACCGUCGGGGACGGGGAGGCCAGCACGGAAGCACAACACAUCGAGAAGGGUGAGCGGCGGGAGAGUCACGGUGGUGUCGGUCAGGCCCGUGUCAUCCGCGGCGGCGGCGUGGUGGCCGCCGGAGGAGUUGGGGGCGAUGGGGUCCAUGCGUCGGCGAGCGAGAGGGGGCGGUGGCGAGUGGUGACUCGCGGCGAGGUGAUCGAAGAGGACUACUUGGGAAAGUGGAGGAAGAAGAAGAAAGAACGACACGAGAGAGAGCAGAGAGGCGCUGGCUAGAUCCAAUUAUGAUGAUGUGACCUGUUUUAAAAUAUUAAGGGUUAGUUAUUAGGGAUCUGCUGUGAGUUGAUGUGUUGUUUGGGAAAAAAUUUUAGAAGGGUCACAAUACAUAGUUUCAGGAAAGAAUUUUUGGAAAAGUAGUUGCUAUCACUUGCCCACUGGUCCGACCACUUGCCUACUUCACUGUGUCCUGAGAGUUCCUGAGAGCUGUUCCUUUUUGUGGAGUGUGACCACUACAACGACUAGUGGCACGGUGGAGUGUGCCCACCGCUUCCAUCCCGCUCUCUUGCCCCGCGUCCUCCUCUCCGGCGGCCGCCGCCCGCCGUCCCAGGUCCCCGUCGCUCCGCAAGCGGCACUGCGUCGUCAUGCCCCUCGUCGCCGCCUGCAGUCCUGCGCCGCCGCAUCAGCUCGACAACGGUUGGUACCCCGCGCUACCUCUCCUGAACAGAGGACUACUUCCGAGCGUCUGUCUUUAGCGACGUUGCUUUGUUGUCUGACCUGACGCAGAGGAGGAAGGCUCCGGGCGGCGGCAGGUGCUUCUGGCGGGUGCUGCCGCGGCCGCCGCGUUUAUUUCCCGGCCUAAUCCGGCGGCAUGUGAGUUGCUCUUCGAUUUUACUAUCUCCUUUGAAUGCUCGUAUUCUGCUGCUUUAACCACUUCCACUUUGCUGGUCGCUGAAGGACAAGCUUGCUUUGUGAAUAUGGCUUAUUUGGUCAAAACUGCGCCUCUGAGUGCCAUUCUGAUCUCGUAUAGUCGCAGCAGAGGCUAAGAAAGGGUUCCUGCCUGUCGUCGACAAGAAGGCGGGGGCCCGGCGGCGGCUCGAGGAGAGAAAGAGCAGGUUAGGGUUGAGAGAGAAAGGAGCGCAUCGGACGGAUGAGGAUCCACGCACAAAUCUCAAACACCGGAAGCCACGUAACGUAUGGGCUUCCGGAAGGCAUAUAGGAUUGGCGGUUGCAGCCUUGCGGGAACUGGUAUAGCAUGGGCCGUGAUAUUGUGGGCCUGUAUUCGGCCUUCACCACAACACAACGGUAUGGUCGGAUUGGGUUGGGCCGGCCGGCGAUUUGAUGUUGCGGAUCGGACCCUGAUUUGAUUUGUCAGAGAAAAAGCGCCCUUUCACUAAAAAAGAAAGUCCUGUAGAAGAUUUAUUAACGUGCUGCCAUCUACUACAGUAUCAUCUCUCUAGAGACGCCAUGGUCAUCAUGAUUGUGACCCAAGGCGAAGCUAGUGACGUCAACGCGUUUUUUACCAACACACACUUGCAUCUUUGGACUUUGUUGGAGUAUCCAUCCUACUCAACAUCAAGCGGCAUAUUCUUAUCGGCCUACCUCACUGGUUGCGUAGGGGCGUGACGACACUGGUGACGUGAGAAGAUCAGCAGGCAGCAGCUGAUCUGUCUCUAAGCUAGUGUUGUGCUGCAAAAUGGAGAUUAUUUAGGGGUGUUGGAUNNNNNNNNNNNNNNNNNNNNNNNNNNNNNNNNNNNNNNNNNNNNNNNNNNNNNNNNNNNNNNNNNNNNNNNNNNNNNNNNNNNNNNNNNNNNNNNNNNNNUUAGUUUUGUAUUAGCUCAUGUUUAAUCUUCCUAAUUAGCAUUCGAACAUCCGAUAUGACCCUGCUAAAGUUUAACACUUCGUAUCAAACAACCUCUUAGUAGCACCCUUUCUUAAGCAACCAUACUAAACACCAUUAUUUUUGCUUUGCGAACUUCCGUCCAACAAUCAUGUGUAAAUAAACAACAUGCCUACCAAAGUCGUCGGCCGACUACUAUAUUAUCAGUCUAAUGAUUAACGAAGUUGAUCUUUUCUUCUACCGUCAUCAAUUAAAUUGGCAGUUGACGUUAACUUGCGUGGUAAGAAACGAAGCGUUGCUAACAGUGUCGAUUAACUUGGGUGAUGGCCUAUUAAUUACCUUUUCCAAUCUCAAUUAUUGGUUUCUUCUUCGUUCGCCGUUGAUCUAGAUUAAAGCAAGCGCUACAUACGUUGACAGCACCGUCCCCAAUUUAGAUGUGUCCUUCCCGAAUUAACCUUCUUCCUUGUAUGCUCAUCUCGUUAGCGUUCAGACGAAACCCUAAACGCCUGCAUCUAUUCCCAUCGCGUCUUCGUCUGAACAUGUAAUCUAAACCUUGUAAGACAUUAUACUUCUCUCCUUCUUAUAUGAUACGGUAGUGCUCGUGCCAUUUUACAUUUCAAAAAAAAGAAGAAGAUUUCUUCGUUUCCACGCAUAUCUACGAGCAUGAGCAAAUUAGGUCGGCGAGGAAAGCAGUGUCAACGGUUGGCAGGCGGCCGCGAUCGAGUUCGAUCAGUCGCCCGCCGAGCUGCUACCCGCCAGUAAUAGGCAGCAUUACUGGCGAAGGCCUUUUGACGUGUCACGGACAAGGCCAUGUAAGAGUAGUCGGGUCAUGGCGGAGACCACAAGCGCGGACGACAGAUUCCACGCGGAUUGCCGACUAGGACGGCGGCCGGCCAUUAGCGAUCCGAACCUAUCCGUGAUGCUAGUGGUAGGAAAGCCUACUCGUGGACACGUGGACAGCAUAUACGACGAGAUCGUACAUAUCCACAUAUUCUGCUCCAACCAGCCAACUUUACGACAAAAAAAUUGAGCUCGUACGCAUGUAGUACAAACAUUAUUCAGCCAUUGUCCCUGCUGUGCCGACAAACUUGCGACUAUUGGUUUGGUCGAUCGCUGGUCACGCGCAUUGUGGAUACAACGUUAUUGUCCGAGCAGGAGCUUAUUAGUGUAAGCAAGCAUUGCACGCCGACAGAGACCACCGACCGCCCCGUCCAUUGCACCUUGACCCCGGAGGCCUGGACUCGAGAUCACAUGAUCUGAUGCGAAUCUCACUUGGAUACAUCAUCGCAUCUUCCCUCCCACCGCGCGCCGCAUGGGCGAAGGUCUCACCGACGCCGAGGCCGGCGGUGACGACCCGAUCGAGGAUCGGAUUCGAUGCGUGAACUCGGAGCACCUGCUCCAGUCCACGUUCACUUCACUGCUAUUUUUUCGAAAGUAACAACUGUACUGUCCUUGCUGCUAUGAGCAAAAUCGCACGUUUUGCAUGUGCCUUUUUGCUGCUCUCUGGCGCUAUCCAGCCGGAGUUUCUACAGUACCGGGUAGGCUAGCUCAUGGAUCCGGCCGAAAGGUUAAAUCGGAUAUGUAUUGCUUAUCUUUUAGAGCCCAAGACGCUACCGUCCUCUCUUUUUUAGCUGAAAGAUGCUGCCAUGUUGGUCAGCCUACUACUCCUGUCGAUUAGCGUACGCGUCUGCAAUGAUCGCGACAGGGGCGCGCAGCGAUUCCGCCGCUGCGUUCACUCGAUCUAAAGGUUCUUCCUUAUCGUCGCCCUGUGUUUGCUUUGUUGGCGAAUUCAUCAGUAUUGCACGCAAAUAGCAGUGCCUCUCCAGUACGGUCCAAUCCUAUUAGGCAUCCACUCGUAGGAAAAUGACAAAAGCCACUACCUAAACACUGAAAAUUGCUUGAUCCAUAUUCAGCAAAAACGACUGUGCUCAAGUUCCAUCAUUUUCCCCCUGGAAUUUGGGCAAUGCACAGUUGGUGAGCAACCGCUGACUAUGGGAUUUUAGUUCAAUGUAAUGUCGCAUUCAGCGGGCCUUAUUAAGUUGCCAAGGUUGGUUCUUGGACAUGCAUGUUUGAACCGAAAGGCAACACAUUUGAGUAGUUGACUGCAUGAAGCAGGAAAUGUAUGGCGGCCUGAGCAGUUUGAUGUAACUACCACUAGGACGAAGCUUCGUUCGUGCUAACCAACAGGGACACAGUGAUUUGAAUUCAAACUUUCAGAGCCGCCGUUUUGACGGAAGAAAACUUCUGACGGCUUCCGGAGCAGACGAAAACUCAAUGACAGUAAAUCGACUUGAUGACUUCCGCAAAAAGAAAAGAAGACCUGAUGACCAAAUUAGACAUGGCCUGGCCACAUGGAUGAAUCAACUAGUAAAACUGCUGACCAGCUGGUGCACAUACACCUAAGCAUUGAUAAUUUUGAUCAUCCCGGAGACUUUUGCUUGUUCCUAUUUUCAGUUGUCAUUUACGAUGCGUUUGGUAGAGCCCCAGAGUUGAUUGUCUGCUGAAUCCAGCAGGAGCUUUGCCAAACAGUUUUUCAGAGAAAAGUGAUUCUCUGCUGAUUCUGUGAAGUGAUUAUCUGAAAUGAAUUAAGAGGUCGGGAGCUGGAAAAAAUAGCUUCUCCUGAUUCUGUGAAGUGAUUCUCCAUCCUGAUUUCAAGACAUAUACUACGUAGUUUUCUGUUUAUACUAAUCCAUCAAGACAACUACUCGGUUCUCUGUAUGGUUGUUAUGGAAGACGUGGUUUUCUGUCUGUGUUUCUGAUGUCUCCCACGUUUUUAGUUAUCAGAUGAAAAGAGGCAGUGCUCCUCUCAUUAUUCUUAACAAAUACUCCUACUUACUCAUUAAAUGCUGUUAUUUUUGGUAAUAUAGUUUGAUUCUUCCCCCAAUAGGUAUUGAGAAAUGGGAUGGGGAUUGGCCCCGGGUCGUAGUCGGAACAGAGGAAUUAAUGGGAUAGGUGUUUUGAAUUGACAGACGAUAAAUACGAGUGAUUUUGUGUGUGCUUGUGAACAGAAACUUUGACAAAGAAAACUAUUGAUCAAUGAUAAUCUGCGUAAGUAAAUAAAAGGUGUGGCAAAGUACGGGCAUAUAUUGCUCAUUCCUUUUAGGCUUGGACAACCCCAUUGGGAGGAAAUGGGAAAAGGACCACAAGGGAGCAUAUGCGCGCUUGACAUUCCUGCGUGCCUCUGACUGUGUCGAGACAGUAGCUUUUGUUGCCCUGCACACCCACACUGCAGGUCACAGCAUGGAAACAAUGUGCCGUUCAACAGCCGGCGUGGACACCAUAACAGGGCUUUCUAUUUCAGCACCAGAGCACUGGCAACCGGUCAUGCUCAGCUCCAAACGCGGCGAACGCUAUGGGGGCCGGCCGGAGCAAGACGACCUGGCCAAACCCUUGCUGGCGUCAUCGGGCUGACGUUGGCCGGACCCCAGGAGGUGACGCUGCUUGGUCAGGGGAGAGCACCAAGCCUCCAUGCCGCCAGCGUGGCACGACGCUGACAGCCGGGCCGGGGCUCCCCCUCUCGCCCGGUCGUUCAAGGCGCGGCGUGUUGCGUCCAUCGAUCGCUGAGCCGGUCGUGACGUCUAUUUAUGUAGCCAGUCUCCGGGGCAAACAUGGAGCUCGCACUCGCACUCGCACUCGCGCAGCAGCACAACAUCACAAUUCACACAGAGCAGCACUCAAGCCGAGCAUCAGGGCAUGGCGGACCAGCUCAUCUCCACGGCCGUGCACGAGGAGCUGCCGGAGAACUACGUCCGGCCGGAGGCGCAGCGCCCGCGCCUCCACGAGGUGGUCUCCGACGCGCAGAUCCCCGUCGUGGACCUCGCCGACCCCGACCCCGCCGCGGUCGUCGCCAGCAUCGGCGAGGCCUGCACCACCCACGGCUUCUUUCAGGUGCUCAACCAUGGGGUGCCCGUGGAGCUGAUGGUCGCGAUGCUGGCGGUGGCGUACGAGUUCUUCCGGCUGCCGGC
rnacentral:lncRNA from 1 species